rnacentral:rRNA from 1 species
CGGACGGGUGAGUAAUGUCUGGGAAACUGCCCGAUGGAGGGGGAUAACUACUGGAAACGGUAGCUAAUACCGCAUAACGUCGCAAGACCAAAGAGGGGGACCUUAGGGCCUCUUGCCAUCGGAUGUGCCCAGAUGGGAUUAGCUAGUAGGUGGGGUAACGGCUCACCUAGGCGACGAUCUCUAGCUGGUCUGAGAGGAUGACCAGCCACACUGGAACUGAGACACGGUCCAG